UGAAAUCCCGGGGCUCAACUUCGGAACUGCCAUUGAUACUGCAAGUCUUGAAUACGGUUGAGGUAGGCGGAAUGUAGCAUGUAGCGGUGAAAUGCAUAGAUAUGCUACAGAACACCGAUCGCGAAGGCAGCUUACCAAGCCGAUAUUGACGCUCAGGCACGAAAGCGUGGGUAGCGAACAGGAUUAGAUACCCUGGUAGUCCACGCCGUAAACGAUGAUUACUCGUUGUUGGCAAUACACAGUCAGUGACUAAGCGAAAGCGAUAAGUAAUCCACCUGGGGAGUACGACCGCAAGGUUGAAACUCAAAGGAAUUGACGGGGGCCCGCACAAGCGGUGGAGCAUGUGGUUUAAUUCGAUGAUACGCGAGGAACCUUACCUGGGCUCAAAUGCACGAUGACUAUAUCUGAAAGGGUAUUUUCUUCGGACAUUGUGCAAGGUGCUGCAUGGUUGUCGUCAGCUCGUGCCGUGAGGUGUCGGGUUAAGUCCCAUAACGAGCGCAACCCCUAUCAUUAGUUGCCAUCAGGUAAAGCUGGGGACUCUAGUGAAACUGCCUACGCAAGUAGAGAGGAAGGUGGGGAUGACGUCAAAUCAGCACGGCCCUUACGUCCAGGGCUACACACGUGCUACAAUGG
rnacentral:rRNA from 1 species